GAUGAAGAAGGUAGCGAAAUGCGAUACGUAAUGUGAAUUGCAAAUUCAGUGAAUCAUCGAGUCUUUGAACGCACAUUGCGCCCCCUGGUAUUCCGGGGGGCAUGCCUGUCCGAGCGUCAUUGCUGCCCUCAAGCACGGCUUGUGUGUUGGGCCCCGUCCUCCGAUUCCGGGGGACGGGCCCGAAAGGCAGCGGCGGCACCGCGUCCGGUCCUCGAGCGUAUGGGGCUUUGUCACCCGCUCUGUAGGCCCGGCCGGCGCUUGCCGAUCAACCCAAAUUUUUAUCCAGGUUGACCUCGGAUCAGGUAGGGAUACCCGCUGAACUUAAGCAUAUCAAUAAGCGGAGGA
rnacentral:misc_RNA from 1 species